rnacentral:rRNA from 1 species
AUUGAACGCUGGCGGCAUGCUUUACACAUGCAAGUCGAACGGUAACAGGCCGCAAGGUGCUGACGAGUGGCGAACGGGUGAGUAAUGCAUCGGAACGUGCCCAGUCGUGGGGGAUAACGCAGCGAAAGCUGCGCUAAUACCGCAUACGAUCUAGGGAUGAAAGCGGGGGACCGUAAGGCCUCGCGAGAUUGGAGCGGCCGUUGUCAGAUUAGGUAGUUGGUGGGGUAAAGGCUCACCAAGCCGACGAUCUGUAGCUGGUCUGAGAGGACGACCAGCCACACUGGGACUGAGACACGGCCCAGACUCCUACGGGAGGCAGCAGUGGGGAAUUUUGGACAAUGGGGGCAACCCUGAUCCAGCAAUGCCGCGUGCAGGAAGAAGGCCUUCGGGUUGUAAACUGCUUUUGUACGGAACGAAACGGCUCUGGUUAAUACCCGGGGCUAAUGACGGUACCGUAAGAAUAAGCACCGGCUAACUACGUGCCAGCAGCCGCCGCCG